UUAAUAAUACCAAUCCAUGUACUGUCUUAUCUUUUAAUGUAUAGUUUAAAAUGAUCAUUUCAGAUUAGGGGAGUGGUUGUCAUUCACAGUUAAACGCUAGCUAGGGAGUUGGAAAAAUGGAUGUGCCAAUUGCAAAGUUCUUUGAUGCCUUCUGAGGCACGUAAAACACCAAUGCUUGGAAUCUAUCCCACUUCUGGGUUGUCCUAAAGGAUAAACAAUUUGCACUCUUAAAGCCAUUUGUAAUAGUCUAAUAGAUGUAAGGUGAGCUGAGGAAAGGGUAUGUCCCUAGGGAGUGUGAUGGCAAGAGGUAAAUUUUGUGGCAAGUUAUCCAUCUCAAAUAAGGAUUUUGAAGCUAUUUUCUUCCUACUUUGAAAGAAGUGAUUUUAGCCUUGGGCAUGUCGAUUGAACCUGGAUAUGGAAUUCCAAAUUUCCAACUUCCAAGGAGUUGCAAGUUAUACAUGGCCAUGUUUGCUGGUUAUCGUAGAAUGGGAAACCUGAAAGACCAGGAAUUGGCAUAUGGUCUUUUCAUUGAUGGAUAUAUGCCAAACUUUUGGAAGGUCUGCCUAGCGUUAAAAUCAGCUAAGACCACUAGGUUAACCUAUGGCAAUGGUAAUGAUAACAAUAAGUAUUAUGUAGAUUGGACUCAAUAUUGUUGUUUCACCUUCUCUCUUAUUAAAAAAAAUUAUGGCAAAAAACUGUGCUUUUCCUUAGAGAAAUGAAAUAAUGUACAAGAUUAAAAUAUCAGUCACAAAGAAAGGGACUCUAUUCAGGGAGAUUAUGAGAAACUAAAAAAAGGGACUCUAUUCCAACGAGAUCAAACUAGGACUACAGUUACAAAGAGGCAUAGUGAUUGACACCUACAUAGGAGACAAUCAUUAAAUCUUGCCUUCUCCCAAACCUUGUUACAUUGCCUCUCCAUGACUCUGCCUCUCCAAAAAUUAUAUCGUCCUCUCGAGUUGAGAUUCCCACAAAAUAGCUUGUCACCUAAAAUUGCCCUUCUCUUGAAACUCAGGCCCCUCCAUCCAAAAAGAAAUGUGAUUCAGAUUUUGACUCUUCUUUUAGUGUAAGCAGCGAGGAAGAUGAUCAUUUGGGGAAGCUAAAUGAGUUAGAGGAUCAUUCUUUGAAGGACUCCUUCGAAACCGAUCUCUAUGAUUUGUUUAAGCAUGAAGAGGAUUUGAAUACUAGAAAACAGAUCUCUGGAAACCUGUCUUAGUCUCAGCAUUACGAACUGUCAGCGGCCCAUUUAAAGUUGCUAGUAGAUGAAUGCCAACAAGUUUUCAUUUGAGAUCUGAUUUUAGUCUCUUUUUGGUUCAAUAAUAGGUUACAAUGGAGUAUGUGUAGCGAAACUUGUGUGGUUUGAAGGUUGCAGAUAAAGAGAUUGGGAUUCAAGUCUCUUGAAACACCUAAUUCAGAACUAGUACUUUCCCUAGAUUCAAUGAAGAAGCUAGGCUCAAGAAAUGUUUCCAACCGAUUGAACAAUUAUUAUUUUUUAGCAGUUUUGUGGUUUCAUCUUAGUGAAAGAUUUAGCAAGGCUGGUUAUUGUGGGAUUAUCAGUUGAUAUGCUGGCUUCUGAUUUUGAGUAUGGAAGAACGAUACGCAUCGUAGGAUGAAGCUAUGAGUUCUGUGCAAGAUGGAAAUGUUGAGAUGGGAGGGCUUGUUCAACCCCCGAGGAGACAGCCGUGGAUCUUUUGUCAUCCCAAGGAAAGAAUGACUCAGAAGAGCUAGAAGAUGUGGAGAUUGGAAUUACUAUAACUAAAGAAGAAAGAAAAGAUGAGAGAAAUUUCCAGUGGUAAGAAUUUGGAGAAGUUGGAUGGCAUACGGAAGAAGAAUUCUGUUUGACGAAUUGUAGCUUUGAUGGGCUUUUUCUGUAAUACACGUGGAGUUUUUAUUGGUGAGAUGAAAGAUUUCUUGGUGCUUUCCUUUCCCUUCAUUUUUGAAGAUCAAGCUUGAAGCAGCACAACUGGUUGCCCUUUCUUGGUGCUUUCCUUUCCAUUCAUUUUUGAAGCAGUUUGUGAUCAAGAUCUCAGCUGAUUUGGGUCUCCAUGUUGAAAAAGCUUUCAGCUUGCUUUGUAUUUGGUUCUUGUUUUGCUCGGGUUUUAGAGGCUCUUGUCCAGCUGUUGCAAUUUUAUUAUGUUCUGUCUUGUCUAUGUUCGUUUAGUCCUUUUUGCCCUUGGUACAUUUCUCUUGUACUUUGAGCAUUAGUCUCUUUUAUUAAUAUUAAUAAAGAGGCUUGUUUUCAUUUUAAAAAAAGAAGGCUUAGGACCUCCUCAGUAAUAGCCUAAUCAUUGCAAUUAGGCCAAAGAUGAGCCAAGUUCUCCAACCAACAAAACCAGAGAUACUUAGCAAAUUGAUAAUCUCAGAACAAGUGAUGUAUGUACUUUACCUGGCCCAAUGACCCCUAUGUACAUCACUGCAGAUACAACACAAGGAAGACUGUCUGAAAAUGAUGCAUAGUGAUGAAAUUUUCAUGUACAAUUUACCACACCAAAAUGUUUACCUCAGAGAUUUUAACCUUGAUGGAGGAGUAAGCAGGGGUAGUUUGGGGAGGGGAGGGGAAGGUGGGGACAACCACAAACUAUGUAAGAAUGGCAAGAGAACCCCCUGCACAGCCUAGAAUCCCUUCUCCCAUGAAGCACUUGCUGAGCCUGAAGAGAACAGUAAGAAGACCUGCAGUAUCUAAUGCUUGCUCUCUAUUAGACAGAUGAAAUGUGAAACCUAAUGACAGAAGAGGCGGAAGGAUCAAAGCCUGGUAAAAUAUAAGCUAGCAAAUGCUGUUGUUCAAAAUGGCUCACAGAAGAGCUUUAUCAGCCGCCCACCAUGCUUCACAAAAUCCAAUAUUCGAUCCCUCCUCAAGAUAUAGUUUAACAAAUGAGGAAAUAUAUUUCUAACGGAAGCCCAAAAUAUAAUAACAUGUACCGCUCUUGGUUAGCAUUUAAUUAUAUAAUGAUUUCUAAUCCUUCUUGAAGGCUUAAUCGUUCUUUAUGCUAAUUCUUCACACUUUGUACGUCAAAAGCGGUGCAUGUUGUUAUGUUUUAGGUUUGCAUUAGGCUGCUGAUUAUAUUUUCUUUUCAUUUUUUCCCCUUGCUAUGAGUUCAUCUCAAGAAAUAAUUACAGUUGGAAUACUAGCCUGCAAAAGUUGAAUAAAUUUUUUAUUUGAAGUUAACGUCGGGAAACCAUCGCAAACAUAAAACCAUGAUUCACUAAGGCAGGCCCUGUUUGGUAGAGAAUCUGGAUUCUAUUUUAUGUUUUUAAAUUUGUGGAGUUAUGCAAAUAUGUAUUUGUCA